GAUGAACGCUGGCGGCGUGCCUAAUACAUGCAAGUCGAGCGAAUGGAUUAAGAGCUUGCUCUUAUGAAGUUAGCGGCGGAUGGGUGAGUAACACGUGGGUAACCUGCCCAUAAGACUGGGAUAACUCCGGGAAACCGGGGCUAAUACCGGAUAAUAUUUUGAACUGCAUGGUUCAAAAUUGAAAGGCGGCUUCGGCUGUCACUUAUGGAUGGACCCGCGUCGCAUUAGCUAGUUGGUGAGGUAACGGCUCACCAAGGCCACGAUGCGUAGCCGAACUGGGAGGGUGGACGGCCACACUGGGACGGAGACACGGCCCAGACGCCUACGGGAGGUAGCAGUAGGGAAUCGUCCGCAAUGGACGAAAGUCUGACGGAGAAACGCCGCGUGAGUGAUGAAGGCUUUCGGGUCGUAAAACUCUGUUGUUAGGGAAGAACAAGUGCUAGUUGAAUAAGCUGGCACCUUGACGGUACCUAACCAGAAAGCCACGGCUAACUACGUGCCAGCCGCCGCGGUAA
rnacentral:rRNA from 1 species